GCGAACGGGUGAGUAACACGUGGGCAAUCUGCCCUUCACUCUGGGACAAGCCCUGGAAACGGGGUCUAAUACCGGAUAAUACUCCUGCCUGCAUGGGUGGGGGUUGAAAGCUCCGGCGGUGAAGGAUGAGCCCGCGGCCUAUCAGCUUGUUGGUGGGGUAAUGGCCCACCAAGGCGACGACGGGUAGCCGGCCUGAGAGGGCGACCGGCCACACUGGGACUGAGACACGGCCCAGACUCCUACGGGAGGCAGCAGUGGGGAAUAUUGCACAAUGGGCGAAAGCCUGAUGCAGCGACGCCGCGUGAGGGAUGACGGCCUUCGGGUUGUAAACCUCUUUCAGCAGGGAAGAAGCGAAAGUGACGGUACCUGCAGAAGAAGCGCCGGCUAACUACGUGCCAGCAGCCGCGGUAAUACGUAGGGCGCAAGCGUUGUCCGGAAUUAUUGGGCGUAAAGAGCUCGUAGGCGGCUUGUCACGUCGGAUGUGAAAGCCCGAGGCUUAACCUCGGGUCUGCAUUCGAUACGGGCUAGCUAGAGUGUGGUAGGGGAGAUCGGAAUUCCUGGUGUAGCGGUGAAAUGCGCAGAUAUCAGGAGGAACACCGGUGGCGAAGGCGGAUCUCUGGGCCAUUACUGACGCUGAGGAGCGAAAGCGUGGGGAGCGAACAGGAUUAGAUACCCUGGUAGUCCA
rnacentral:rRNA from 3 species